UUGAAAUUAGCAAGCAAUCCUAACCAUUUUGGAUUCAAUAACCUAAAUCCUACUCCUAGCCCAAUUGGGUAAAGCCCAAACCAAUAAAACCCAAAACAAAUACUCCCUCCCCUUUUCUAAUGCACGUGAACCCAAAGAAACAAAAAAAAAAAGAAGAGAAAACCUCCUCUUGCUCCUUCACUGUUCACGUAACAAGCACCAAACCCUCAACACCCUCCUCCUUGCUGCCGCUGCUCACGCCGCCGGACCCACCAGCACGUCACCGGCAUCCCGUCGCCGCUGCACCACCACCACGCUGAGCGCUCGUGGUUCUGCAAUAACCGCCGUCCUCGUCGUCCACCCUUGCACGCAACACCACCUCGCCGCACCGCCGCGUGCCGCCCAGCCUUCCUCGUCGCCGGCAGUUCUCUCCUUUCCCUUAUUCGGCGGAGAAUUCUCUUUAGGCGACUUUUGAAAGUGUUAAAGUGGCCUAUCAGUUUGUUUACACAAGUCUCUAAGGAUCAAUAAGCAUUGCCCAUCUACAGGUUUGAAGAUGAUGCAUCAUUGGGAUCGGGAUUAGAGAGCUUGUAGUUCUAUUUGUUUAAUUAAGUGAUUCAAUUUGUUAACUUGGAUUUGAAACUUGUCGUACUAUUCGUAUUUCCUUAUUUCAGUUGAUUGUUUUGGACCUAAUAUGUAAUAGAGUAAUUAUGAACCCAAAAGUUAGUUUUAUGUUUUCCGCUGCAAAAUUCUGAAUAAGCCGUACGUUUUUACACGGGCGAUAAUACUUUGAUAAUUCCCUACAGUUAUAUUUAAAAAGAGGUUAUUUUAGAAAAUGGGAAUUGUCGGGGUGUUACAAAGUGGUAUUUUUGAGCUAAAGGUUUUACUGAGAUUUCGUGUCUACCUUUUAUAUCUUAGGCGCCUAACCAACUAAUUAGUUACGUAAAAGUAAUUUCAAACUAGUGAAUAAAUUUAAAGUUAUUAGCUAGAAAUGUUUGAAUUUAUUUUAAUUUUGACUCUUGAAACGUGCUUUGAAAUACGUUCUUGUUUAUGUGAAUUAAUGUAUUUCGAUUCUUUUGAAAUUCAAAUUAAUAUUUCCAAAAAAAAAAAAAAAAAAAAAAAAAAUUUACUGCUGCUGCUGCUACAGUACCGUAAAAAAAAAAAAAAAAAAAAUUAAUUAUUUAUCGUUUAAUAAUUAUUCUUUUAAUCAAUCUAAUUCUUAUAAAUCAUUCUUGUUUAUCCUUUUAUGCUUCAAUGUUUGAUAUACUAUGAUUAUUUUGAGAGUUGGGUAGUAUAGGAAAGGGCAUAUAGAAUAGAAGCAUCGUGCAUGCAUUAU